rnacentral:rRNA from 4 species
CAGGUUUACCUGUGUGACUGCGUACCUUUUGUAUAAUGGGUCAGCGACUUAUAUUCUGUAGCAAGGUUAACCGAAUAGGGGAGCCGGAGGGAAACCGAGUCUUAAUUGGGCGUUAAGUUGCAGGGUAUAGACCCGAAACCCGGUGAUCUAGCCAUGGGCAGGUUGAAGGUUGGGUAACACUAACUGGAGGACCGAACCGACUAAUGUUGAAAAAUUAGCGGAUGACCUGUGGCUGGGGGUGAAAGGCCAAUCAAACCGGGAGAUAGCUGGUUCUCCCCGAAAGCUAUUUAGGUAGCGCCUCGUGAAUUCAUCUCCGGGGGUAGAGCACUGUUUCGGCUAGGGGGCCAUCCCGGCUUACCAACCCGAUGCAAACUGCGAAUACCGGAGAAUGUUAUCACGGGAGACACACGGCGGGUGCUAACGUCCGUCGUGAAGAGGGAAACAACCCAGACCGCCAGCUAAGGUCCCAAAGUCAUGGUUAAGUGGGAAACGAUGUGGGAAGGCCCAGACAGCCAGGAUGUUGGCUUAGAAGCAGCCAUCAUUUAAAGAAAGCGUAAUAGCUCACUGGUCGAGUCGGCCUGCGCGGAAGAUGUAACGGGGCUAAACCAUGCACCGAAGCUGCGGCAGCGACACUGUGUGUUGUUGGGUAGGGGAGCGUUCUGUAAGCCUGUGAAGGUGUGUCGUGAGGC